AUCUAUUAUCUCAGAUUAUAGGUUAUUAUUUAAGGUUAUAUUUACCAUUUGGUGAAAUGUGUGAAAAAUACAUAGGCGUUGCAGAAAUGGUGUUUAGUAUGAUGUUGAUGACUAUCAUGCAUAUCCAAACAUUUCUAUAACUGGCCAUCUGGAAUAAAUCAAAAGUCAAAUGAAAAUCACAAGUUUUUGUGCAAACAAUUCAUUGUUUAAUAAUUCUACUGUCUUGAGAAAUUUCUCACGAGUCUGUUAGUCCUAAAGGCUUAUACAUUAACUUUUAAUGUCAGCAAAAACACGCAAAUAAAGUACAUAAACCAUCAUGGUAAUGACAGGGAAGCAUUUUUCACGAAAUAAGACAAUUUAUUCAACAAGCAAAAAAUAUGGAAUAUUUCCAUUGUAAAUAAUAGAACUGUAAACAAAUUUUUUUCAAUUGUUGGUGUAUAGUUUGUAGAGGAUAUUGUUGACGAAAGUGCGUACACCUUUGGUAUUACAUGUGUCACUCGUAUCAUAACGGUAUUGAGCCACUUUCGUUUGAAGCCGGUGGAUCGUCCCCACAUGUGCGGAAUGUUUGCUAAGAGACAACUUUGAAUUGCUGUCAAUACUCGUAUAGUGUGUAAUAUGUCAUCAGUUGGUGGUUUUUGUGAAAGUUGGACUCGAGAAUCAACUCGUACGAGGGUACCGCUAUUCGUGAGUCGCGAUGGACUGGAUUUUCCAGGGAUUAUUAUUAUUCAUGAACAAGUAAAAAUAUAUUUAAUUCCUUGGCUAUAAAAGAAACAAAAAUAACAACCAAAACUGUUAUUAACGUUGAUAGGAAUCUGGUGAGAAUCAUAAUAAAAUUGAAUGAGUUGCAGCAAUCAUUAAAAUUGAUUAUCCACAUUAAAUAAUAAAUAGUAAUCAAGAAACAAUUUUGAAUAAGGAAUUUAACAAUAACUAAAAAUUAUUUAUACAUUUAAAAAAUAGAAAAUUUAUUGUUGUCAUUGUUCAAUGAUCCAAUCGAGGAUGGAACUGAUCUACUAUUGUUCAUUGAUUGAAAGUCUAUUAAAAAAUGAAUGAAUUUUGUAGCAGUAAUAAUGGAACGUAACCAUCAUCCACCAAUCAUCAUCAACACAAUGAAGAUAUUUAAACAGAAGUUUGAAAAAAUAUUUUAAAAAAUUCUCACCUUAAUAACAAAUUUAUAUCCAAGGAUUGAUCGCUAAUUGUCGAUUAAUUAACAGACACAGAUCACUAUAUUUGAAAGUAAAAUGAAAGAUGAAUUUUCGUCCAUUAGCCGAGUGCACAACGAUGAUAAAUAGUCACGACCGCGAGACAAGAGACGCGCACUUGAAGAGGUAAAGGUUCACGCGAGUCUUCAAGGACGAUGAUAAUGAAUUCCGAUGAUAAUAAACGAAAGGCGGAGCGCUCUUGUUCUUCAACCGCCCUGCGCUCCUUUCUUAGUUGCUCUAGUCCUUUGGCUUUGGCAUCGGCGGCCGGGGACUCACCAACAACAUCGGGAUCCACAGGUCUCUCUUGGUGAAGCCCUCUAGGCGCGAUCGGUAGACGUCUAGAGUCCCGAAAGUAUCUUCGCUCUGGUAUGUCGUUGGACAAGCUCCACCGUGCACACCAUAAGUAUAGCGUUUGAGUCUUGGUGGUGGCAAUGACCGUUCUCUCAACUCCCCACCAUCAUUCUUCUUCCUCCAGCACGACCUCAAGAACACAGACCUCGCUAUAUCGUUCCUCCUAUUCGCGGAUUAUUGCCACAGUUGCAAAUAAUGCAACUAUGCCAAUAUUCUUAUUAGCCGACACCAAUUUGAAGGCAGCUUUUAAACAAAGACUGUUAUUAGAUCAUCGAUUAUCUACGAUUAUCUCGGAUCAAUGAUUGAAAACUUCAUGAAUAUUAAAAGCUACU